GGUCGUGGCUAAAUGGUAGAGCGCUCGCCCAGCAUGCAUAAGGCACUGGGUUCAAUCCUCAGCACCA
rnacentral:tRNA from 1 species